rnacentral:lncRNA from 1 species
UCGAGAGUUAGCCUGUCAAAGUCUUGUCAAAGCAAAGUGCACAUUUCAGUUUUAUUAAAACUAAACCAUUUAAAAUAAGGUUAAAAAUUAUUUUUUACACAAGUUCAAAAUAUUUUGCCAAUUCCUUCGUUCCACAUUUUCUUUAAAAACAAUGGGACGGAGAAAUAAUCGAUUUAGAAAGAAUCAUCACUUCAAUCAUGGUAAAAAGGGAGAAGAGUCCAAUAAACAGGCACAUGUAGAUACUCGCAAACCCUACAAUGACAUUAUAAGA